UUUUACACAUAAUCCCCAAGGUUUGAAACCUUAACUUAAUACAUACCUUCAAUAUCCUACACGAUUUACAAUGCCAUUUCCAUCAAAUACUUUUACAAUUUUAACUGCAUAACAGUCCAAUUCUGGAAUUUUCCUUUACCUUUGUCUUUAUUUGAGCCUUCGCCUAAAUCUGAAAAUGUUAUCAUGAUAUAGCAAGGGUGAGCAACUAUUUUGCCCAACAAGUUUAAGUACAAUGAAGAUAUUUCAGGAUUGGAAAGAAAGAAUAAGCUUUCAAGUUUUCAACAAUGUAAUAAUUAUGAAAUAACAUGAAUCAAGUUUCAAAAAUUGAAUGACUGAAUCAAUAAUGUUUGAAGAUCAACAAUGACCAUGAACAAUUUAACUGAACCUUAUGGUAAUGAAGGUGAUCAGCCUUUCAUACUUGAUGAACAUAUGUAACAUGCACUAAGUGCGAAUCAAUAAUCAGUAUAGAUGUGAAUAAUCAACAAUAAUUAUUCACGAACAUACUUUGAAAAUACAACUCAAGUUUGAGUUAGGAAAACUUGCCUGUACCGUCGAUUAUUGCUACGCAAUCUAAUUUAAUCUCUUUAUUGUAAAGACCUAUCAUUGUUAAGAUUGAUCUUUUAAUCAGCAUAUCAUAGUAUAUCUUAUAAUACAACUACUUUAUCAAUAAAUUAUCUAACACUUAAUCACAAAAUUAAAUAUUAGAUAACACCCUAACACAUCAGUAUUAUUAUCGUCCUUUGAAAAUUUUUCAAUCACUAUAUAUAUCAUACACAUUAUGAUUUAACACUUUAAACUUUCAUAUUAUAAGUUCUUCUUUAUAAUCCAGUAAGCAAAACACUAAUACUAUAAUCUGUAUUAUUCAAACAUACCAAUCCAACAACUUGGAUUUAAACUGUCCUACAAUCCAGCAACCUGGAUUCAUUAAUACAUCAACUCGAAUUCACCAAUUCAGCAAACCGAAUAUACCAAUUCAGCAAGUCGAAUACAAGCUAACAUAAUUAAUCCAAUAAGCCAAAAAUAUCAAUCCAGCAACCUGGAUUCAAACUGUAUUCCCUUUUUUAACAUAUUGAAUUUCCAAUUCAUCAUACUAUUCAAUAUAGCCUAUUGAAUGUCCAAUCAAUAACUUAACUCCUCUUUUAAACUCCAUUUAAUAUUAUUAAUUAUUUAAUAACAUUAAAAUCAUUUACUAAUAUUAUUAAUCAUUAAAUAAUAUUUUAAAUCAAUGAUUUAAUAACACUUUAAUCUAAAUGUUACCAAUCACUUAAUAAUAUCUUAAUCUAAUAUUAUUAAUCUUUUAAUCAUUUAUUAAACUUAUAAAUAAUUUAUUUUAAUUGUUUAAUCUUUACUAAUUCAUUUAUUUAAUGAUCCUAAAAUGCCAUAAACAUAAUAUCUCAUCAACAUUGAACAAAAUACCCUUCAAAAAUUUUCAUAUACUCUAUUUAGGGUUUUCAAGCUAUAAAAUCCUAUUUUCCUUAUUUUCAAUACCACAUAAUUAAUUUAUUUCAUUUAUUCAUAACUAAACCAUUUCCAUGAAAAAUACCAAAUCAGUUCAAACAAUAUUUAUUUUCUGGAAUUUGACAGAAUAUGGUUCCCUUAGGAACAUAUAUUUUUCUUGGAAUUUGUAAAAUUCAUUUACUAUUUGUUAAAUGGCCAACACAGACGGAUCUUGGUACAUUUAUCAUAAACUGAUACUUUGUCCAAAAAUUACGAAACUCUCAGGCUAUGCUCGUAUGUAUAUGUACUCCCAGUAAAAAUUUCACAAAGUUUAGAGUUAACCAUAAUGAGUUAUUAUGGUUUACUUUUAAAAUAGUAUUUUCCCGUAAAAUCCAUAUCUCUUAUUCUAUACAUCCAAAAAUCACCAUCUUUAGACAUAAUACAGUUAACUCAUCACAUUAUCAUUUUAAAUUUUUCCAAAAUUUUUGAAGGUCAGAAAAAUGACGAAAAUAUCCCUAGCAUAAACUGACCAAAACAGUUUUAUUUCCUUUUCUAAAAAAAUAGGAUUGUUUUGGCUAAAACAAUCACUACGGCUUGUAAACUCAACAUUUUUGAGUGCUACUACUUGAGUUUACUAGAUAAAUUAUACAUUUAGCACCCAUAUUUGACGGAUCAUAAAAAGAAGUUAUAGAUCUAAAACGGUGGACAUCUAAAGUACAUAAAAGUUAGGCUUUUCUAAACUAGAAAAAAUAAUUUUCUUUUAUUUUGAUUUCCAAACAAAUCAACACCCAAUAUGGUUAGAUCUAAACAUAAAACACUCAUCAACAAGUAGAUCCAAAGUUUUUGAGUUUAGAAACAUACAUCCAAGUUUUGAUAUACAAUAACCAAAAUAAAAUGUACCAACUAGUUUAGGAUUAUACUUUUUAUGUGCUAUCCUUCUUCUCGUCUUUCCCUUCCACGGAUGACCUUUUUCUCUCCUCUUCUCUCACUCAUGGGCUGCCCCCCAUCUCCUCUUUCUCCCUCUCAUUGGCUGCCACCCCUCUCCUCUUUUUCUCUCUCUUUAGUUUCUUUUUGCUCGCAAAUUUGGAAAUGAG
rnacentral:lncRNA from 1 species